CAACUAGAAUUGUUCAAAUAAUACUUAAACUGAGAAAAAGAUGUGCGUUUUGUAUCUUAUCAAUCGUUUUAAGUAAAAUACAGAAAUUUCCAACCCUAAUGUUACGACCAGGUCUUAGACGCAACAGCAAAGCGAUACAACUUUGCGGUUGUUUUUUUUGGUAUUUUUUGGGGUUUGGGAGAACAGCUUCAGGAGCCAACAAGGCCAAAAUAAAAACAAAACACCCCUUACUUUUUUUUUUUCAGAAUUGAAAAUUAAAAACAUCUUAUUUAUUUAUUGUAAAUGACCUCUCGCGGCCCACCUGCAGUACCUUCGCAGCCCACACUUUGGGAAUCGCUGCCCUAAAGCAUCCCCAACUUUAUGGUCUAUUUUACUCUAAAUGGGACCAUCAUCAGCAGAAGUCCUCAAACUUUGAGAGCAUAAAAUCAUGUUCACGGAGAAAAUAAAAGGUUUGCCCACGUUAGUUUGUUUUGAAUGGUGUUUCGGGAGAACUACCAGAACACAUUGCUGAGUGCAUCACUACCAUUGAACCUUGGUGAGUAUAUUUAGUUUUUUUGGUAAGAUCAUGGGAAACGUCUUGGAUCUGAAUGCAUCGACGCUUGUUACCCCCUAUCUAUCUUAUGUGUAUAGAUGGGGGGAUUCAAUCACAGUUCAGCUGUAGUCUUUGCUGACACACCUAGUCUGACCUCUACUAGAUCUUUCUAGUUACAUCCCCCAGGCAGUUCCCCCAUUCUUCUUAAAUUGCAUAUGUGGAUGAAUUAUUUUCUCUGCCGUGAGCAAUUUCUGAGGCACAGUGGGUGUUUUCAAAUUGUUUCAAAUUUCAAGCUUUUGGAAGAAGGGGUUCGAGAGUAAAGGAUAUGAAGCAGAACAUUUUGUUUUUCAGGUUCACCAGUAUAAUUAAAUCAACAAAGGACUCUUUCACUGCCUUUCAUCCUACCCUUUGGGUUAUGUAAAGUGUGCUCCUUCUGGCCUUCUUUGUGUUCUCCCUCUCUCUUCAUAUCUCUUACUGGCUUUCUCGCUCCCCCCCCCCCCCUCACAGAUGACUUGCUAGAGUAGAUCAGCAAAAUCAUUAUCUGUGAAUACAUUAACACUCCAUAUCCUCUGGCACUGUUAAAAAUCGGUGUGUGUGUGAGAGGGGCACAGGGAAAUGAGAAAAUGGAUAGCAAGGGGAUAAAAAGUGUUUCCUUCACUCAGCUAAUUUUUUCCUCCUCACCUGUGUUUUUUUCACAGGCAACAUUAAACCUCACCUAGUAUUUUCUGAGGUUGCCAGUUGAGAAACAGAACCUGAUGAAAAUUUAAGUUGUAGUCUGAUUGUCUGGGGAGGUUUAGGGACAUGAGACAGGGAGGAGUAGAAGUAGAAGUAAAAUACCAGAUUGAAUUGAUUGUUCUCACAAGCAGUAUGAAACAUUUGACCUGUAUCCAAAAUGGAUUAAAAAAAUAUUACCACAAAAUAAGAAGCGUAAAUAUGUUUAAUGAUUUUAAUUAAAACCUGUAGCCUGUUUUUUGGCCUCUGCUCCCCUGAAAAUGGCACACUCAUGAUAAAACGUGUAAUUACUGUGGAACUACAUUGUCUAUCAGAACACUUCUUUUCUUCCAGAAUAAAGGGGAACCCCUGUGAGUAUUCUGAUGUCUAAAUAUCAUUUUAUAUGUUAGUGUUCAAGAAAUAAAUGAAUAUGGCACAAAAAUGUAACUUUGAAUUUUGAGCACCGCUUCAAAGGGGAAGACCAAAGACUAGGGACAGAGCUUAUAUCUCCCAGUCAAAGCUGGUAGAUGUGGACACCGGAUAAGCAGAUAAAGAUAAGAUGAGACAUUGACUUCAGUACAUCUAACUACAUACGUCAUGAAAAUCUAAUACUUUUUAUUCUAUCAAGUAAGAUGUUUUUAAAAGUAAACAUUCAUCCAUUCUACCAUUAAACAGAUGCAUUUGAAGUAAUUUCAUACAGUUAAUGUUAUGUUAAUGUUUGAUUUUGUGUCUGUAUGUCGUCAAAAAUGUACAAUAGUUAUUUUUCUCUUAAUUGUCUCGCAACCUCCAAGGCAUCUUGCACACAUUUUCAAAUUGAAAUAUAGAAGAAGGUCAACGGUGCAAGAUGGGCUGAGAAAAUUAAAAAAGCCACAGUGGACGUAUUAUAUAUUUCAGAAUCAUUAGCCACCUCUAACAUGAUGGAUGCUUCGCUUUGAAAUACUGCACAGUUUAGAUGUUGUGUGCGAUGGGGGCACAUUUUCCUUCAACAGCUUACUGGUUUUAAGUGUGUAAAACGUGCAGAGAAAAAACCUGCUUCACUGGGCCUGAAGGAGCUGCUCACAUAAAGCUGUCUUAGAGGAGUGCAAGUGAGUCGGUUGGGGCGGAAGAGAACAAUCAGGAGGGACGGGGGUGACAGAUGGAGGGAAAGAAAGAGAAGGACAGCAUGAUAGAAAUAUGGAAGAAACAGACUGAACUAUAAGGAGAGAGAGACUAUGCCGAAGAGACGUGGGGAAGCAGAAGGAUGUGUGAUAGAUGAAGGGAUGAUAGGUGUAAUGAAAGAGGGGAACUGGGGAUGAAGGGAGGCAGAUGGAUCAUCAUGACAUUACACUCGAGCGUGUGUGUGUGUGUGUGUGUGUGUGUGUGUGUGUGUGUGUGUGUGUGUGUGUGUGUGUGCGCGCGCACACUUUCCCUCCUACCUCCCAGCUAUGCGUAUCUGUGAUUCCUUGUUUUAGAGAUUGUGAGAAUCACCACUCACACCAGCCCUUUUGUCUUUUUAAGCAGAAUUAAUUCAUGUAUUUGCUCACAUGCAAACAUAGCUUUAGAUGCAUAUAAAUGCGUACACGCACACAUAAACACCACCCAGUAAGUAUGCCUCCUAAUGGUCUGUAGACCACUUAAAAAUGCAUAAUAGUUUAUAACUGAAUUUUUUCUUCCAUUUCCCUCAGUUCUUUGUUUUUCUUAUUACUCCGUUUCUAUCAUCAAUUUAUAAGUAAGAUAUUGCACUUUAACAACCCUGUCGCAGUGCUUAACCGAAAUGAUUAUUGUGACCAAUACAACCACAGUGCAAUACAUGUAAAUAGGUGAAAGUGGUAUACAGAUCGGCACGUUCACGUUAGCUAGAGCAGUGGUCCCCAUCCACCGGGCCGCGGACUGGUACCGGGCGCACCACAGAAAGCUUAUAUAUAUUUUUUUUCUGAAAAAUGUUUUAUUUCGAAAAUUGACCGGAUUUUCUCCUAAUUAUGUGCGCUCGUCCCUCUGACAUAUUCCCCAUGCGUCACCAGGCGUUUUUCUUGUCCGUUUACCAUGCGCGGCAGUUUCACACACACAGAGCGCGCGACUACUUUCCCCCCCCGUCGGCCGUUCUGCCCGCAACGACUACUCUUCUUUUGUGGUCAACGGAGAAAUGGGAAAAGCUACGACAAAACAAUUCUCUGAGCAACACCGAUCUCACGGUACUCCAUGUCUUAUGCCAUAAGUCCCCUGGUAAUAAACAGAAAUGUAGCAAAUAUACUCCUCAACCCCAAUCAAACACUUUCUUAACCUCCUGACACAAGCAACUAAUAACCCUCGGGACAACUUCUGGUUAUUUAGUAAGACAAAAGACUACAGUUCUCCAAAGCUGCACAAGGCAGUUUUUUUUUACCCCAUUUGAUACAGAACUAGUAAAACUGGUUUUGGACAUUCUGACAGACUACAGAAGCAUAAAAGCAGAAUAACAGACAAUAAAACCCGUUUUUUGGGAGAACAUAUUUUACUCAACUUUGCUUUCCACAGGCAUAUAUUCUGCUGGAUGACUUCACACCAGCUCUUCCCAUCUCAUAAAAGUGAGAUAUUGCUCUUCACUGACAAAUGCAGGUUUUUUUUGCAAGACCUUUCUAUUAGUAGUGACAGCAUAUAGGGACACCUUUCCAGACUAGCAAGGAUCUCUGUUGUGGUGCCAAGGAGCCGACGGCCAUGCAAUGCUUGCAUCACAACCACAGCUUAUUUCUCCUGCCAGUCCAAGUCGGCAUAUUUCCCAUUUCAACAUGAUCCGGUUUUAAAUUUUCUCCCAUGUCCCUUCCACCCUUCCAUUACCUCCUAGAGGCGGCUCAAACUAAAUUCAGAAACCUUGGUUCAACCGCCUGUAUACCUUCAUACAAGACAUGUGCUUAUUUCUUCCCUCCCAGCAGACACCAGACCUUAACUCCCCCCUCAGCGCGACUCCUCUCCCUCCUUCCAGGCAUCUCGUGAUGAAAUGAUAUUCCCACCUCAGAGCUCAACUGCCUGUAUGAAAAGCUCUUUUCUCCCAGGGACACUUCAUAGCCCCCUCUGAGCAUCCCUGCAAGUCUCUUAACCCUAAUCAUUCCCUUGUCAUGUGCGAGAACAACAACUUUUUUUUAUUGUGAAGCCACUGCUGUUAUAUGAAAAUAAGUAGAUAAUUGAGGGGGACAAAUACAUUAAAACGGCUGUGGUGUUGAUCUAUUUGUAAUGCUGUCAGUUGAAAUUUGGUUUAGAAAUUGGUCUCAUUUGGAUUAACAUAAUUAUUUAAACAAUGUGCUUAAUGUUUUUUUCCCGUCUCUGAACCAGCCAAACAACCUGCGAACCCAACUCAUCCUGUCCGAGCGUAAAGGCAAAAAGAGCUUGUGAAUAACUGUCUAAACCUCAUCCCACCUCCAUUUUGAUUGAAAGUGACGCUCACCGCUGACAGUAGCGACAAAGCAAUUUCAUCCAACUUCGUCUGAAGUGGUGUUUCCCACAGUGUCACAAUUAACCAAAAUUAUUAACAGCAGUAGUUUGUUCGGUGACAGCUUCUCGAGAAGGGACCCUGAGAGAAACAACAUUAGGAUGCACAAAAGAUGAAUUACCCAAUGAUCGAUACUGUACUUCACGUUUUAAGACAAUACACUUGUAAGUGUGGCUGUAGAAAGGAAAUUGAUAAGAGCAUGUGCUUUCAUGACUUGGUGAGCUGUCUAUUUAUAGCAGUGGCGGGCCGUGCAUCUUCUACCUGGGCUUUCUAUGCAUUUCAAGUUAGAAGCAAGAGGCAACCAAAUGUGAGGAUGAACCAGCAAAAUUGUCUUUAGUAAACGUGAAAGGAAGGAUUGACGAGAAUGACAGAGUGGGAAUGGAUCAAGAUAAAGAUAAGAGAGAAAGAGAGCCGUGUGAAGUGAGGCGAUGAUGAAAGAGAAAUUGGUGGAGGGAUGAGUGGGAGGGGUGGCGGUGAUGGGGGAGGGGACAGUUCCAUGUCGGGCAAAUAGGUGGCAGUACCUCUCUGUACAGGUCCAUAGUGUGGUGGGGGUAGAGGGAGAGAGGGGGGAGGAGGCAUAGACAGAGAGAUACGCGGGGGGUGCUAUCACAGUGUCGGCAUGGGGAGCACAAAUCACUGCUCAUAUGUUGCUAUGUUGCUAUACAUGCUUAUUUCUAAACAUAACUACUGUUGUUCAGGGCGGGUGUUUGCACAUGCUGGCAUGUCGAAGGUAUGUAUGCGUUUGUGUGCGUGCAUGUGUGUGUGUUUCAGUGGACGUUGUUGUCUGUGUAUCAUUGUUGUGUGUAGGUAUGUGCGUGUGCACACAUACUGGCAGGGGUUUAAGGAAAUUUUUUUUUUUUUUUUUUCUUCGUCUGCCCUUGAUACGCCCAGCUGAAUGCAGAGAGCUUUUAAAAGGGUAUUUCAGCGCUGAGCCAAAGCCCUCUUGGAGGCAUUCACAGCAUUGAAAGUCUCCCCGGCACUGAGCGAAGUAACAACCUGGUGCUUGUUCCGAAACUCGUACAAAGAAAUCAUUGGCUUACAAGGGGAAACCAAAACCCGGUUCCCGACAGGAUAUUUUAUUUGUAUUCGUUUGCAAACAGACGACGGAAUUGACACACAUACAAGUUAUGCGUAAAGGCUACUCAAAGGUCUUCAGAUUCAUCUUCGGAGCAGAAUAUUAUAGGUCGAUAACAUAAUGAAAAGGGGUCGGGGGCUGGGUGCACAACCAAGUGCAGAGGGAUCAUGUUGGUUUUCCCCACAAGUCAUCAGGACCUAAUCUAGAGAUUCCAAGCGCAGACAUCUUCUAUCAGCUGACAUGACGUGCACCGUUAUCAUUGCAAGUGGGUGCAGACAUUCUGCGAUCAUAGGAGUUCUGCUGACUAUGACAUGAUAUUAUUGUAGUUUUUCCACUUUCACUGAAUAGGUUUUUUUUCCUCCAGGGUCAUUCAGUGUACCCGUCACGGGAGGCCUUACUCUGCUUGUCGAGCGGAUUGUGUGAUGUCUCCUACGGUUCCAUAUGGCUUCCUUAAGAUCACUGCACCACUCUCCCAUUGAACCCCUAAAACAUUGUUGUGAUGGAUCUUUAUUCGGUCUUCAUUGCAGCAACCAAGGCCGAAGGGUUUUAAAGUUGGUUUGUUGAAUGUUUUGCGACCCCAUCAUCAUGAACAUAUUUGCCUUUUCAUGAACCAAAACCACAGCCUUCCUGUGCCUUCACCAAACUGUAGUUGCCCUGUGUUUAUUUGAAAUGUAACCAUUGGACAUACGACAGGAGUUAUGAAUUUACAGCCAUUGUAACGGCUCUGUGAGAAUUUUGACUAAUGCUUAAAGCUAAAUUCUAAUUGUAUCAUUGACAAUGCUAAUGCUAAGAUGGUGUAAUGAUCAUCUUCUACAUUUAUGUAAGCAUUAUAACAUCUUCUAAUGCCAUUAGUUUUGAAAGUACGCUUAAAAAUAAAGCCACAAAUGUUGAACGGAUAGUGGCACUAGAGAAUAAGCCACCAGGAUUCAUUUUCUGGGGAUCAUGAAUGUUUGAACAUCAUGGCAGUGCAUCCAAUAUUUGUUAAGAUAUUCCAGUCUGAAUUAAUACGAUGGAAUGACUGAGCCAUGGAUAUUGCCCAUAGCCACGCCACUAGGAUAGUUUUCAACUCUCUGAUAUAAGGUAUGGGAGGAUUCACCGAAAUUGCAUUUUUCAUCAUAACUUCCUGUGAAAGGGUUAGUCUGAUAAAAAGCCAUUUUCCAUCCAAUCUAAAUCCAAUUUAAUAAUCUAUCCAAAUUGAGGAUUUCCCAAGCAUCAUGAUGUCCAUCACUCAAUAACACAUGUAAUCAAAGAAAAUGGAUGGUAUCAGAACAUUACAAACAGGUGACAUCCUAAAUAACAAACGAUUCCUUCUAUUAUUUUGUCAUGGAAAAGAGGACUGCGUUUUUACAUAACAAACCCACUACGACAGAAAAAAGAAGUGCAUGGAAUUAAAAUGAAACCUAUCCAAAGAGAUAAUGGGCCUCUGGUUUCUUUUCAUUUAAAAAAUGUGGAUGUAAGUCAUAUGGCUGCACACGUUGUCUUGUCAUAAUGCAGCAAUGGUUUUCCUCUUUAAAGUGAUACUUUAUCAAAGUGCUCAAAGAUACACACACAACCUACAAAUAACUGGGAAAAUAUGGAUACAAUGUAUACAAGCAUACAGACAAAACAUCAUCAAUGCUUGUUCCUUUGUGGGUUUGUGUGUAUAAUAACGGCCACCUGAUCUUUGCCGUUACCAUCUGCAAACCCACCUGCUCUUAGCUGUUAUUUUCAAUUAUUUUCAUCACUUCAUCUGUUGCCGAGCUGAAUUGAAAUUAGUUUUUUUUUAUUCGUCCCCCCGCAGGAACACACACAUACACACAACCGCAGUAGAUAUCAGAUGGUUUGGCUGAGGGAGCGACAACACAGAUGUCAGGACAGCUGAUCCUAUUCAACUUGACCGUCGGCACUCUGUGUUUGUGUUUGAAUAGAAGAAAACAGUCGGUGUUAAGAGCUAAUCACAUGUUUGGGAUUUUGCCACUUUGUAUGUACUGUAAAUGUCUGCAUUGUUGGAAGUGAUAAACUGAUAUAGGUGAUAAAACAUUUUAAAAAGACAUGGAUAUAUGGCUACGUUUCUACAAUUUCUCUGUCAAUACAAUAGCUUACUUCAGUUGACAGAUCUGGACUUCACACACCUUGAGUCACCUUGAGGUAAAUGCUGUGCCUGGAAGUAUACCUGUAUAUCAUCUUAAUUCCAGUCAGUAAAAGCCUGGCUAAGGAGAAGCAGUAUAGGAGUCAGAGAUGCAACUAUAAUUUGCAAAGGCCAAACACUGAUUACUUUCAGCUGAUCAGACAUACAGAACUCUUGUAUAUGUUGUCUGCUUUGACAGUUGAUUGAAUGUACAGUACACACAAUGAUUAUGCAAAGCAUUUAUAUCUGUGCAACCUCGACCUUACCAAGUCCUUUUCACUAUGCUUUCAUCCCUCUCCACAGGUUCCCUGAGCCUGGAAGGAUCCACUCGUCAAGCAAUGUCUUCCCGCACCUUGUCUUAUUGUGUAUGGUGGAGCAUCCGGCCAGGCUCUUUGUGUCACAUGGUUACCCGUUUGAGUCUUCAUAAGUUGCAAAUGACAGCAUUGUGAACAAGAUAUAAGACCCACGUCCAGACCAGACCAUUCCAAAGGCAGCGGGCAUCUGUCUGUUGGGUAUUAUUAUUCCAAAAAGCCCCAGCCUGUAAACUUAAAAAGCCCCAUAGAAUGUGUUCCAAUACAUUGCCUAUUGGGAAGGUCCAUUUCAACAAGUUUGACAGAAUCGGCCACGUAGGUUACUAAGUAAGCUCCCACUCACAAUAUACCAACCUCAAUGGAGCUUAAGCAGUAGUUCUAGAAGGAAGACUCCCUUUAUGCCACACGUAAUGUAGAUAUGCUUCAGCUGAUCUCUCAGAAUUAUCCAAUCAGCGGAGAUUGGCUGCGCUGUGGCUCUAAACCAAUCACACAGUUGCUGUCAAACCUUAUUUAAGGGGUUCUCUCUGUGUUGCUGUCAGGUGCAAGUGAUCGGUUGACGAUUUAGCCCUCAGCUGCGCGUCCUUGCGCAACUGUGCAUGGGACCGGUUGACGGUCAAAACAAUUUAGUUUUGGGGGUUAUUUGUGGCCAGGGUUUUGCUAAGAUCCUGUCAAGCAUAACUCUGCAUCACGGCCCCUUGAUUAUCCCGGUUUAGGAUGGAGUCCAAUCGCCAAAGAUUCUGCACAUUUCAAUAUUAUACAUGUGUAAUGUUUGUCAAUUCAGACCGAGUCUGUCCUGAUUGAAAUGCCGUGAUGCUCAAGUGACCACUUUCAUCUGCUGAUUUCUCAUGUUGAGGCUAAAAAGGUCCACCGAAUAAGGCACAGGGAAAACACAAAUUUCAGUUGAUUUUGACACAGCUUUUACAUUUCUGCUACUUGUACCAGUUUUUACAGAGAAAAAGCUGCCCCUUCUCCAAUGCAAAGUAGGCUCUGAACUCAAAUACUCAAGUUCAAAUUACUAUCUUCAAUAAAAUGAUUAGUCUACAAUUUUAUAAACAGACAUUUGCCUUGCGGAAAUCCCUUUUAGUGGUGUGUGUGCAGCUACCUGAGCUACAAACAAGAUGUGCCAAGCAGAAAUUUCGUUAAAAUGUUUUGGGCAGGAGCCCUUUCACUCUUCCUCUCUGCAGGGCCAACAAACCUUUUGGGCCCAGUGCUUAACAUUACAUAGGCCCCAUGGUAACUGAACACUGACUAAAUUUGGUGCAAAUGAAAUGCUCAGAACGUUAAGAGGCCAGAAGAGUUGCAUAUUAUUCCCCCUUGAUGACAAAAUUUAGUUAAUUUCAACACAUCCGAGUGUGUAACUUGAGAAGAAAGUGCCACACUAACUGUAUACACACAGUGCAUCCGGAAAGUAUUUACAGCGCUUCACUUUUUUCGAGAUUGUUAUGUUACAGCCUUAUUCCAAAAUGGAUUAAAUUAAUUAUUUUCCUCAACAUUCUACACACAACAACAAUAAUGACAAAGUGAAAAAUGUUUUUUGCAAAUCUGUUAAAAAUAAACAACAAAAACAUAACAUGUACAUAAGUAUUCACAGCCUUUGCUCAAUACUUUGUUGAAGCACCUUUGGCAGCAAUUACAGACUCAAGUCUUCUUGGGUACGAUUCCACAAGCGUGGCACACCUAUUUCUGGGCAGUUUCUCCCAUUCUUCUUUGCAGAACCUCUCAAGUUCCAUCAUCAGGUUGGAUGGGAGCGUCGGUGCACAGCCAUUUUCAGAUCUCUCCAGAGAUGUUCAAUCGGGUUCAAGUCAGGGCUCUGGCUGGGCCACUCAAGGACAUUCACAGAGUUGUGCCAAAGCCACUCCUUUGUUAUCUUGGCUGUGUGCUUGGGGUCGUUGUCCUGUUGGAAGAUGAACCGUCGCCCCAGUCUGAAGUCCAGAGCAUUUUGGAGCAUGUUUUCAUCGAGGAGGUCUCUGUACAUUGCUACAUUCAUCUUUCCCUCAAUUCUGACUAGUCUCCCAGUUCCUCCCGCUGAAAAACAUCCCCACAGCAUGAUGCUGCCACCAUGCUUCACUGUAGGGAUGGUAUUGGCCAGGUGAUGAGCAGUGCCUGGUUUCCUCCAGACAUGACGCUUGGCAUUCAGGCCAAAGAGUUCAAUCUUUGUUUCAUCAGACCAGAGAAUUUUGUUUCUCAUGGUCUGAGAGUCCUUCAGGCGGGCUGUCAUGUGCUUUUUAGUGGCUUCCAUCUGGCCACUCUACCUAACAGGCCUGAUUUGUGGAGUGCUGCAGAGAUGGUUGUCCUUCUGGAAGGUCCUCCUCUCUUCAUAGAACAGCGCUGGAGCUCUGUCAGAGUGACCGUCGGGUUCCUGGUCACCUCCCUGACUAAGGCCGUUCUCCCCCGGUCGCUCAGUCUGGCUGGGCGGCCAACUCUAGGAAGAGUCCUGGUGGUUCCAAACUUCUUCCAUUUCCGGAUGAUGGAGGCCACUGUGCUCAUUGGGACUUUCAAUGCUGCAGAAAUCUUUCUGCACCCUUCGCCAGAUCUGUGCCUGGAUACAAUUCUGUCUCGGAGGUCUACAGAUAAUUCCUUGGACUUCAGGUCUUGGUUUAUGCUCUUGAUAUACACCGUCAACUGUGAUACCUUAUAUCAGGGGUCACCAAACUUUUUUCUCUGGGGGUCACAUUAUCGUUCCUGACUGUAAUGGGGGGCCGGGGCCGGGUCAGCUAUAUAACAUAGAAUUGUAUGACUCAGAUCAAAAUGACCACCAGCAGCUCUUAAUUAAGGUCAAAUAAAUAGGCCUAUAAAAUAAAAUUUAAAAAACAUUGAAAUUAUAAUAACAUUAGUAAUAGAACUGUCACGGAUGCGUGGGAAUGCAGGACUCAAACGCAGAGUUUGCAGGCAACAAAAAGGACUUCAAUAUUCAAAAACUCCAAAAAAGUAACAGGCCAACGGGCAAAAACACACACAAGUACCGGGGGGAAAAAAGGCAGGCAGGAACGAGGAACAUCCAGAUGGUAGACAGGGACGAGGAACAUCCAGGAUGACAAACAAUGACGCGACAAGUGACAGGAGACACGCGGCUUAAAUACACUAGGGAGGUGCAGGUGAUUGGACACAGGUGGGAACAAUCAGACAAUCACAGACAAUGACAGGACAAGGCAGGAAGUGAAGUUACCCAGGGAGACAAGAAGCAGAAAACUACAAAAUAAGACAGGAAAUAAAACCACACCGUGACAAGAACAACAGCUCUUACACACAGUGAAGUCCUGUGCAGAAUUUUUUUUUUUUUUUUUUUUUUAAACAAUUCACCAACACCGCGAAACAUUUCGGCACAGAGGGAAAAAAAGUCUGCGAGAGACAGAACAAUUACAUUAUGGAAGUAACUUGCCAACACUGUCAGCACCGACUUCGCCUCAGGCAACAUCGCAACAAGUGAGGGAAUCGGAAGUGAACUGAACGUUAUGCCAAGACGACUUUUGGGGAUUGCCUCAUUGGGCCGGUUCAAGUAGAGGGGGCAGAGGGGCUGGGGGGCCAGUCAAAGGUGGGUGGCGGGCCUGAGUUGUUGGGCCUUAGUUUGGUGACCAAUGCCUUAUAUAGACAGUAGGGGUGUAACGAUUCAUUUUAACGAUUUGAUUCGAUUCAUGGUUGCUGAUUCGAUUCAUGGACAAUCUGGGUUAAUUUAGAACGAUUAUAUUCUAUUCUAUUCGCUUCUACAUAUUCUACAAACAGCGACAGACUUAUUUAGAGCACCUCCGUGUUUGCAAAAGCCAAAAUGUUUCGACGCGCUGAUUGAUAAGUUAGUUUGUAAUAAAUGUCUUGCUCGCAGUCGCCGCCUCCUCCACGCUGUGUGGUGGUGUUGUUGUUCCGAGUUUCGCGCUGCGUACUGAUGACGUCACAGACAGGCAGACUGAAUCGAGUAACGUUUAACGUGUCUAAAGUGCUAAAAACAAACAAACACACAUCCACACCGUUUUUGUACUUAAAUCCAAUGUGCAGUUUCCAAGUAUCGAUACAAUCGAUUAUGUACCAUUUCAAUCGAUGUAUGUAUAUAUAUAUGUUACGAUAUAUGUUGUUCGGAAUGCCAAUUUGCCAAGCACAGAUCAAGUCAGUUGGAUUGCAGGAAUAUAAAUCGACUAAUCGAUUGAAUGAAUCGUUACACCCCUAAUAGACAGGUGUGUGCCUUUCUCAAUCAUGUCCGAUCAACUGAAUUUAGCACAGGUGGACUCCAAUCAAGUUGUAGAAACAUCUCAAGGAUGAUCAGUGGAAACAGGAUGAACCUGAGCUAAGUUUUGAGUGACAUGGCAAAGGCUGUGAAUACUUAUGUUUUCGUUGUUUAUUUUUAACAGAUUUGCAAAGAACAGUUUUCACUUUGUCAUUAUGGGUUGUGUGUAGAAUGUUGAGGAAAAUGAUGAAUUUAAUCCAUUUUGGAAUAAAGCUGUAACAUAACAAAAUGUGGAAAAAGUGAAGCGCUGUGAAUACUUUCCGGAUGCACUGUACUUUCUUAAAUCUGCUUGGGUUCUCAGGCACAUGUUUAUGUAUGUGUAGUGUGUAGUGUGUGUGUGUGUGAGCAGGAAUGUCCUAGUGUCCUUGAUACGAUUGGAUAGAGAUUAGCGUGAUCUGGCCACAGAUGAUAGGCUGUGAUGACAUUAUACCCAGAGCGCGUGUGUAUAUGUGAUGAGGUGUCUUGGAGGACAAUUACAGAUAAAAAAAAAAAAGAAAAGAUAGAAAAAGAGAAGGUCUCACGCUCAUAGCUGUAGAGGUGUGUGUGUGUGGAAGUGAGAUGCAAUUACCUGCAGUAAAUUCAAAAGAGGACUGGCUUAGUCUGCAUGCCUAUAAACACCUAUUGAAUGGCUUCGCAAAGUAAAGGUUACAGUAGGCUCGUUAUAAUUUAAGAUACCUUAACUUAAUCCAAUUGCUUCUAGAUGCUGAUUAUUGUCUGAAGAAUGCAAACAGCUGCCGCUAGCAAGAUCUUUCUGGUUAAUUAAAAUACCAUUUUUAAUUUCACCUGAAACUCCUCCAAUUAUAUACACAAGUACCAGGUUUUAAAAAACAUACCAUGUCAUAUGGCCCUGUGCCCUUCUGAUUUAUAUUUCCAUUGUGGGAAGUAUUGAGGCACACUCAUUUUAGGAAUGGCUGUACAAGAACACCUCGUAUAGCUACAUAGCAUGUAUUUUUCAUCUCAAUUAGAAAUUGUUUUUCUCAAGAGUGUCAAGCUUUAUUGAUGAUAUAUUUUUUACUUUGAAAUGAAUAUACAUAAUUGAUUAUUCUGAGCACUAAUACAGGUUAAAGUUUAAACUGAUUUGUAUAAAACGAAUCGGAAAAUUUCAUUUUGCACUUUCAAUGUGAUGCAGUAAUGCAUUUUAAAUGUAUUUUCCUACUAGCUGCCAAUUAUAUUUUUGAUAAGAAGCCUAUCCAUUAAUGAAUAAAUAUUAGAAAGGCAGUCAAAACAUUUGAAAGGCAGUCAGAAUGAUCUGGAAAACAGACUGGAGAUGAAUCGAGGGGUCAAGAAGAGAAGUAAUAUGUGAGUUGAGAGGUUCAGCAAUUGAACAAGGACAGAAAGGAAGAAGGAGCAUGGGAGAUAGAGGAGGGAAGAUUGAAUCUGAGGAUAGGGUGAAAGGGUGUCGAAUGGUGAAAGUGAAGGCACAUAACUAUUAGAUGGAAAGGUAUAUAGAAAAUAGAUAAAGAGGAAAGCUGAAAGGAGAGAUCAAAUGGUGAGCGAAUGAGAUUGAAUUUGAGGACAAGAUGGAAGGGUGUUGAAUGGUAUCAAUAAACACAGAUAAAUACCCACAAAUAAGCUAGAAUGACUGAGCGGGACAACGGGAGGAUGAGAAAAGGAGACUAAAAGUAGUGACACGGAGGGAGUAAAUCUGGGUCACUUUGGACCAAUGAAAGAGAAAUGACCAAAAGAUGGCGAGAAGGGUCGGUGGAGUUAAGAUGAAAGGGAGAGGGGAGGAAAAUGAGGAGUGGAAAUGAUGCAAAGAACAAAGAGAGGAGGCUUGGGAAGGAGCAAAGACCUAGCAGCAAAAAAAAGGAGAGUGAGCAAAACGGUGAAGGUUAAGGGUAAAAGGGAACCUUUAGAGCUGUAAUGAGAAGAAGAGGGAGAUGGUGGGAAAAUAGAUAGUUCAUCUCACAUCUGCUACAUGCAGGGUAAUGGGCAGAUUGAUUCUUGAACUGAUACCGGAGUUAUGGAAACAAUUGAGGUGAAAGAGAGAAAAUAUUAAAAUAUGGAAAAAAUGAUACAUUAGAAGGGAAAUUAAUUGGAUUCAAUAUUAGCAUGGUGCUGAGUAGAGAAUCAAUUAGGUUUUCUAUUUUUGCCGAAGGUGGGAUCAAACAGGAUCAGUAAAUGCUGCAUUCAAUAGCUAACACAAAUUCUAGAAAGGAGAAGAAAGCAAUUACCUCUUAACCAGAAGUGAAGAGAGAAUAUUAGUAAAAUAUUUUGCAUUGUCUAUCUAGAUGGUAAUGAUUACGUAAAGUGAGAGCACAUACCCAAAGUGCACAUUGUUUGUAGGGUUUGUGUGCGCUGUGUUUGAGUGAUCAAUGGUGACAAUAUCUUAUUAUGCUGCCCUGUUAUUCAUGUCUGUUGUGCUGCUCUGCGCUCAUAGCAGGUUCCCAUCAACAACUCCUGGCCGGAUUGACAUUGUUUAGCUAGGUUACCAUCAGGUGAAUAUCAUUUAAGGAGCUGAGAGGCAGAGUGGUGGAGGGGAGAUACAGUCGGAAGGCGGGCCACCUAAAUGAGCGUCACAAAUUGAACUCAUCAAGAUCAGGUGUGGCAGGAGACACACCUGGACCUCAUGUCGUCAAGGAGCUACAUAAGGAAGAUGAGGACCUUGGUAAACCGGAUAGUGGCCCGGGGCGCUGAAAGUUACGUUUAGAGUUUGCUGGCUGUGGGAAUUACCGGAGUAAUUUAUUUUGUUUCUUGGACUGAUUGAUUAAAAUGUCUCCGAAGACACCCUUUGCCUCUUGACUGCUGCGCUGCCAUUUAUUCACUAUCCCCAGUGACAUCCUGUUACAAUAUAUUAUAUGGAUGACCAUUAGUCCAACUGUAUUCAUUAGCAAUCAUCACUUAAACCAUUGUAUCUUCAUAAAUACUGUAUGUGGUUUGAGUUUUGCAUUUUAAUUCAAAUAGGUUGGUGCUCACUAUAUAUCGUCCACUGCUAAUCAUAAAAACUUCAUGCUUUAAUAUAAAUCUGCCCGUCAGUGGUCCAAGCAAUAUGGGGACUUAUGGGCUUUGAUUUUAAAGAUCCAACCAGCAUAUAUUAUCAUUUGGCCGACUUAAGCCAGUUCAGACCUGCUUUAUGAAACCAAUCUUUCUCGCUUACCAGAAAGAUGUGAUGGCCUCCACUUGCAAAGUAAGACGACAAAUAAAAAAUCUCAACCCGAGCUUAAAUGAUUUGUCCUUCCAAAAGCCAAGCCCAUAUUCAAUAUCCAUGUGGUAAACAAGAUAUGAAUUACUUAAGAAACCAAGCUUCUUAAAAUCCAAAAACACCCUUUCACAAAUGUCCUUGCAUUGGAUGAUGCGUUUAGCAAAGUGGGAAAGGUUGAACACAAAAAAAAAAAAAAAAAAAAACUUUCACAGCUGUGUUAUAUUCAACUAACUUUCCAGGUGAAGACUAGACAAAAAUAAUCUGAAACCAAGAUCACUCUCGCGCUUUUCCAUUUUGGCCCUGCGAGUGGCUUUAUAUCGCUCUUUUUCAAUCGGUCCUCCGCGUCCACCCAUCAAAGUAGAUCUCCCUCCAGACCCCUUUUGGGUUAAAGCUUAACCGUCCAUUGAUCCCACUCUAAAACAAACACACAUGUAUUCAAUGCAGCAAUGCACCACUGGGACCAGAAGUCACAGCUUAAUGGUCAUUGUGUGUGCGCAGUGAGAGAGGGAGUGUGAACCAAAGUUAGUCGUCCCCGAGUGUGAAACAGGCAAAUCACUUAUUCAGUAGUCCCCCCUCUACCCUCUAUAGUGUGUGUGCGCAACAGCCUAAAUCUGAGCGGCUUCUGACUAAAGAUGUAAAGUCAGAGGGGACAUCUUAGCAUUUGGAGAGGUCCGGAAACUAAGCUUGUACACACCAACACACAAAUUUGCAAACAUACACAAGAGGUGGUGGUAAAAAAAAAAGCCUCUUAUUUUCUCUGCAAAAUGAAUUCAAAAGUUCCUUUUCAGCGGUAUUAUGUAUUACUUUGUUGCUAAAAUGUUAUGAAGAAAGCGAUCAGAUUUUCUGCUAAAUGUGUGUGUAUGUCAACCCAUGCCAUUUUAGUAUCUGAAUGCUCAUAAAAUGUGCUUUGUGAAGAAUGGGUUCAAUAUUUACUUGUGACGAGAGUGAAAUAAUGUUUAUUCAUAAAUCCCUUUGGAAUGAACACUAGAGUCCUGCCGCUGAUCACUUAAAGGGAAGAAGCAGUUGCAAAACUUACUUUGCGACAGAUACAAAAACAUUACAGCAUUUCCAGGUGAAUACAACAUCUUUGGCUGUGUUACAUCAGUUCCAGGGCAGCAACCUGAAUUUGGUAUUAAUGCAAUGUGAGCAUACAUCCUGAACAUAUUGUACGACCAUUAUUGUGAAAUGGAAGUCGGUGGUCAGUUUACGAGCAGCUUAACUUCUUUCUUUACAUCUUUCCAUAAUAUUAAUUAUAUCAGUGACCUGCAGUCAGUGGAGGCAUCAUGAAAUGUGAAAAAAUUAAAAUAUAUGCACCCCUGCCUGAAGGGGGCGUGUGAGCAUGCAGGCUCAUUCCACUGUUGCUUUUCUUCACGUAUUAGACUGAUCGCAUGUGUUAGCAAACGUCGAGUGCACAUUUGCAGUCCUUGAAAACAUCUGAAUCUGACUAAAGACUACUUUCACCUGGCGCAAUGUCUAUUGAGA
ensembl:lncRNA